rnacentral:misc_RNA from 1 species
GUUGUAGCUGGCCGAAAGGCAUGUGCACGCCCCGUAACCAAACCAACCACCGUGCACCUUUUGUAGGUUGGGCCUUCGGGCUCUUCCUAUGUAUCACACAAACCAAUCGUAUGUCUAUUGAAUGUAAACCUGAAGCGUGGAAACACGUUUAAAAGCUUAAACAACUUUCAACAACGGAUCUCUUGGCUCUCGCAUCGAUGAAGAAC